rnacentral:lncRNA from 1 species
CUAAACAUUAAUUUAAAGAAUAAGUUGAAGUUGGAAAAGAUAAUAUAAAGUUAUGUGAUGAUAAAUAACAAUUAAGCACUUGUAUUUAGUUUUGAAAUGCAUUACCUUAAAAGGUUUAUUAAUAUUGAUUAACUUCAUUCCUAGAAUUGUUUUACCAAAGAUGGGAAAAUAAAAAAUGCCGCUAACAUGAAAUCAUCUGAGUAGCUUUUCUUUAAAGCAUUCAAUACUGAAACAUCAGAAUAAAUAUAAAAAUUAUUUUAGAGCAAUAUGCAAAGAUACCUCAUCAACUUAUAUCAGGAAAUGUAGCAUAAUCAUAAUGAAAAUAACAUUCUGUCAUAACUAUAACAAUAUAGAGGACAUUUGAUUUAUCAUUGCCUUGCCAAAUAGUCUCAAAAAUCAAUAUAAUCAAUGAUUUAUUUUAAAUGCCCUACAUAGUCUCUGUUAAAUAAAACUAAAAUCAUAGAUAUAUUUCAAUGUAAAAUACCUUUGUAAAUCCAUACUGUUUUAUAAUCCAAGGUUUUGGGAUGGAUAUUAAAAUAUUUGGUCAUGAUUGUCUUUU